rnacentral:rRNA from 1 species
UACAGAGGUCUCAAGCGUUGUUCGGAUUCAUUGGGCGUAAAGGGUGCGUAGGCGGCGCGGUAAGUCGGGUGUGAAAUCUCGGAGCUUAACUCCGAAACUGCAUUCGAUACUGCCGUGCUUGAGGACUGGAGAGGAGACUGGAAUUUACGGUGUAGCGGUGAAAUGCGUAGAUAUCGUAAGGAAGACCAGUGGCGAAGGCGGGUCUCUGGACAGUUCCUGACGCUGAGGCACGAGGGUCAGGGGAGCAAACGGG